rnacentral:rRNA from 1 species
CCUACGUGAGGCCGCAGUGGGGAAUAUUGGGCAAUGGGCGCAAGCCUGACCCAGCAACGCCGCGUGAAGGAAGAAGGCUUUCGGGUUGUAAACUUCUUUUCUCAGGGACGAAGCAAGUGACGGUACCUGAGGAAUAAGCCACGGCUAACUACGUGCCAGCAGCCGCGGUAAUACGUAGGUGGCAAGCGUUAUCCGGCUUUACUGGGUGUAAAGGGCGUGUAGGCGGGAAAGCAAGUCAGAUGUGAAAACCAUGGGCUCAACCUGUGGCCUGCAUUUGAAACUGUUUUUCUUGAGUACUGGAGAGGCAGACGGAAUUCCUAGUGUAGCGGUGAAAUCCGUAGAUAUCUGGAGGAACAUCAGGGGCGAAGGCGACUAUCUGGCACAUAACUGACGCUGAGGAGUGAAAGCGUGGGUAGCAAACAGGAUUAGAUACCCCAGUAGUC